UUCCAAAAACAGCAGAUGGCGCAGUUCGUCAAUUUACGCUAGUUCUCGAGACCAUCUGUUUACAUUUUCAGGGAAUAGCCUACAUCAGACCAACGUGAGUGGGGAACAGAUGGACUCUAGACCUUGUUGCUCAGUGGGCGGCACUUGGCGUCUCCAAGCCGAUCCGAUGCCAAGAGACCAAGCACGCAGGCUUGGUCGAGAGGUCCUUUAAAGUUGCACGCGGGGGAUGUCUAUGUGCAGUCGGGGUCCCUGAGGUGGGCCUUUCACAGGAGUGUCAAAACUUCGAUUGUUCUUACUGCUCCAGGCUUGAAUAAACCGCCUCGAGCGCAUCUGUACAUCCCACCCCUCAAGAUCAGAAUGUGCUCCGGUUGUAUUGUAAACAAUGACAUCUUCUAUAUUGCUUAUCUAUUUGAGCACAAUUGAGAUGCAGUGAAUAUUAAUGAAGAGGAUUGUGCCAAACCUGUGCAAGCACGACUGUUAAUGGUAUGUUGUUUUGUUGUUGUCUCACACUUUUUUAGAUGCGCUGUUGUUUAUAAAUGCUACUUCUUUUGAUAAAACCGCUUUUAAUAUACGGUUUUAUUCAGAUUAAAGCUUUGAUACAGCACAGCAACGUACACGC